CCAAGGCCCAGGGAGGCUAAGACAUUUUUCCAAAGCUCCCAGGAGUCAGGGAAGCAAAUCUGAAAGCUACGCGCAAACAUCAGACUUCAUUUCCUUGGCCUCUUAAUGCUCCCAUUGCUGCCGCUCCGAGGGCUCCGUAGGCGAGGAAGCUCUCAUCUCUUGGCCUGUGGUGUGACUCUGGACUGUCAGGUCAGCCGUACCAGGGUGAAAGGUCCCAUUGAAUGGCCAGCACCGUACACAGCACUGACCCACGGAAGAAGCAAGGAAGUUGAGACAAUGCAACAUUCCACUGGCUUUCUAUUUGUUGUAAAAAGGAACCAACCGGCUGAAGAUGGGACAGUCACCCCAGGCAGACACGACACCCUCGCCUCCGCCUGGAGCCCAAGGAAUUGGAGCACGUACCUGGGGCACCUGGUCGAUGCGAAACAGCCGAGGGAGCUUCAGGCUCAGCAUCUUGAGGCUGGGACAACCGCUCCCUGUCACCCGCUCAGCGUUCGGACAUGGCCCGGGGCGCCUUCGGCCAGCUGGUGCCCAGGACACUUCCCUGAAAGAGGACAGCGUGAAGAAACGCGUCAGCCUUGGCCUAACUCCAGCUGGAUCAGCGCCGCCAGACUGUUGAACCGCGGAGCAAAAACUUGCCUGCAACGGCAAAA